GNNNNNGACNNCNNNGNGACUGCUAGUACACGUGGACACCUGCCCUUAGGUUGGGUAUAAACCCGGGAAACUGGGUAUAAUACCCGAUAGGUCUCGAUUGCUGGAAUGCAUCGAGAUUUAAAGCUCCGGCGCCUAAGGAUGGGUCUGCGGCCUAUCAGGUAGUAGUGGGUGUAGCGUACCUACUAGCCUACGACGGGUACGGGUUGUGAGAGCAAGAGCCCGGAGAUGGAUUCUGAGACACGAAUCCAGGCCCUACGGGGUGCAGCAGGCGCGAAAACUUUACAAUGCUGGCAACAGCGAUAAGGGAACCUCGAGUGCCAGGUUACAAAUCUGGCUGUCGAGAUGCCUAAAAAGCAUUUCAUAGCAAGGGCCGGGCAAGACCGGUGCCAGCCGCCGCGGUAACACCGGCGGCUCGAGUGGUAACCGUUAUUAUUGGGUCUAAAGGGUCUGUAGCCGGCCGGAUAAGUCUCUUGAGAAAUCUGGCAGCUUAACUGUCAGGCUUUCAGGAGAUACUGUCUGGCUCGAGGCCGGGAGAGGUGAGAGGUACUUCAGGGGUAGGGGUGAAAUCUUGUAAUCCUUGAAGGACCACCAGUGGCGAAGGCGUCUCACCAGAACGGACCUGACGGCAAGGGACGAAAGCUAGGGGCACGAACCGGAUUAGAUACCCGGGUAGUCCUAGCCGUAAACGAUACUCGCUAGGUGUCGGCCACGGUGCGACCGUUGUCGGUGCCGUAGGGAAGCCGUGAAGCGAGCCACCUGGGAAGUACGGCCGCAAGGCUGAAACUUAAAGGAAUUGGCGGGGGAGCACCACAACGGGUGGAGCUUGCGGUUUAAUUGGAUUCAACGCCGGAAAAUCUUACCGGCNACCGACAGCAAUAUGAAGGCCAGGCUGAAGACUUUGCCGGAUUAUCUGAAAGGUGGUGCAUGGGCCGUCGUCCAGUUCGUACUGGUGAAGCAUUCCUGUUAAUUCAGCCACNAGCGAAAACCCC
rnacentral:rRNA from 1 species